AAGACAUUAGUAAAAUAGCAUUACACUACCUUGUCAAGGUAGCAUUGUGGGUUUAAACCCCACAUGUCUUG
rnacentral:tRNA from 3 species